UACGUAGGGUGCAAGCGUUAAUCGGAAUUACUGGGCGUAAAGCGUGCGCAGGCGGUUUUGUAAGACAGGCGUGAAAUCCCCGGGCUCAACCUGGGAAUUGCGCUUGUGACUGCAAGGCUGGAGUGCGGCAGAGGGGGAUGGAAUUCCGCGUGUAGCAGUGAAAUGCGUAGAUCUGCGGAGGAACACCGAUGGCGAAGGCAAUCCCCUGGGCCUGCACUGACGCUCAUGCACGAAAGCGUGGGGAGCAAACAGG
rnacentral:rRNA from 1 species